UGGCUUAGAGGGUAAAGCAUCUGCCUGCAAUGCAGAAGACCCGGGUUCGAUCCCUGG
rnacentral:tRNA from 1 species